CGGUUGGCUACGUGUGGUGCGAAAGACGUUCGGCGCACAUACGAAAGGAUUUUCUUUGUUGUCUGCCGCGUCUGUGGCUCGCUCGCACAAAGCGUGAGGAUAGCAGAGAAGACGAGAGAGAGACGCGAGAGAGACGAGAGAGAGACGAGAGAGAGACGAGAGAGAGAAAAGCCUUCAACAAUGGGCCGAGUCUGUUUUCCCCGCCGCGGCCCAAGACCCCGCGUGUGGCUGCGCCGCGAAGCGGAGCGCCUGGUGCGUGAGCGCGAGAGCGCCGGCCUGCCCAUCCUGACGCCGGACUACUACGACCGCGACUCCAUCGUGCUGCCCAGCGUGGAGGAGGAGGAGCAGUGGGUGCUCGCCCACAAGAGAGAGCAGUAGAGGCGGACGCGGACACGCACACGCAGACACGCACGGACACGCACAGACAUGCACAGAUGCACAGACACGCAUGCACACGCACGCACACGCACGCACAGACACGCACGCACACGCACGGACACGCACGGACACGCACAGACACGCACCCACAACAACCACACACACGCACACACAAAACGCACAGACAACAUGCACGGACACGCACACACGCGCACACACGCACACACGCACGCACACACACGCACACACAUGCACAGACAUGCCCUGUAUCCGUCCCUCGCUGUGAGCGGCACCACCUGACACAGCGCGCCCACCCAUCCACCCUCGGACUUAGACUCGCGGCAAAACACGAGGGGUCGUAACCGCGGUAACCGUGCCAGACUCCGCCAGGCACCGGAUGUGAGUCGCCGAGGGCGAUGCCCCGGCAACGGAGGAGCGCACCGAGCGUCGCGCCCAGACCGAGGCGGAACGCGAGGCUCGACCUCGUCGCACUCGAGACACAAACCACGCGCCGACGGUCGACAUCGCGCUCGGCACAAGUGGGGGGGCUAAACCCCGCCGCUGGGCUGCCACCGCCGGCCAGUAGCGCGGCGGGGCUUUGUGAACGCGAGGGCGGCUUCAGGCCUCCACGUUGGCGUUACGGGGGGGGGAAUCGUGGCCUCGUGUUUCACCGUUUUGUCACCCUCCCCAAGCGUCAAUGUGAUUUAGAAAAAAAAAAGCAUCUGCUUGAGAAUAAAUCGUUUGCCAAGUGGGCUAACGCGCCACCAUGA